AUUGAACGCUGGCGGCAUGCCUUACACAUGCAAGUCGAACGGCAGCACGGGGGCAACCCUGGUGGCGAGUGGCGAACGGGUGAGUAAUGCAUCGGAACGUGUCCUCUUGUGGGGGAUAACCAGUCGAAAGAUUGGCUAAUACCGCGGGAGAUCGCAAGAUGAAAGCGGGGGACCGGAAGGCCUCGCGCGGGGGGAGCGGCCGAGGCCGGAGUAGCUAGUUGGUGGGGUAAAGGCCUACCAAGGCGACGAUCCGUAGCCGGUCUGAGAGGACGACCAGCCACACUGGGACUGAGACACGGCCCAGACUCCUACGGGAGGCAGCAGUGGGGAAUUUUGGACAAUUGGCGCAAGCCUGAUCCAGCCAUGCCGCGUGUGUGAAGAAGGCCUUCGGGUUGUAAAGCACUUUCGGACGGAACGAAAUCGCGCGGACGAACAUUCCGCGUGGAUGACGGUACCGUAAGAAGAAGCACCGGCUAACUACGUGCCAGCCGCCGCAGUAAUAC
rnacentral:rRNA from 1 species